UACGGAGGGUGCGAGCGUUAUCCGGAAUCACUGGGUUUAAAGGGUGCGUAGGCGGCUCGGUAAGUCAGUUGUGAAAGCCCCUUGCUUAACGAGAGAGGUGCGAUUGAUACUGUCGAGCUUGAAACGAGAUGAGGCUGGCGGAAUGUGGCAUGUAGGGGUGAAAGGCAUAGACAUGCCAUAGAAAACCGAUUGCGAAGGCAGCCUACUGCGUCUCUAUUGACGAUGAGGCACGAAAGCGUGGGGAGCACACAGG
rnacentral:rRNA from 1 species